rnacentral:rRNA from 1 species
GAUGAACGCUAGCGGGAGGCCUAACACAUGCAAGCCGAGCGGUAUUGUUUCUUCGGAAAUGGGAGAGCGGCGUACGGGUGCGGAACACGUGUGUAACCUGCCUUUAUCUGGGGGAUAGCCUUUCGAAAGGAAGAUUAAUACUCCAUAAUAUAUUGAACGGCAUCGUUUAAUAUUGAAAGCUCCGGCGGAUAAAGAUGGGCACGCGCAAGAUUAGCUAGUUGGUGAGGUAACGGCUCACCAAGGCGAUGAUCUUUAGGGGGCCUGAGAGGGUGAUCCCCCACACUGGUACUGAGACACGGACCAGACUCCUACGGGAGGCAGCAGUGAGGAAUAUUGGUCAAUGGGUGCAAGCCUGAACCAGCCAUCCCGCGUGAAGGACGACUGCCCUAUGGGUUGUAAACUUCUUUUGUAUAGGGAUAAACCUACCCUCGUGAGGGUAGCUGAAGGUACUAUACGAAUAAGCACCGGCUAACUCCGUGCCAGCCGCCGCUGUAACAC